rnacentral:rRNA from 1 species
AUUGAACGCUGGCGGCAGGCCUAACACAUGCAAGUCGAGCGGGGUUUUCGGACCUAGCGGCGGACGGGUGAGUAAUGCGUAGGAAGCUGCCCGAUAGAGGGGGAUACCAGUUGGAAACGACUGUUAAUACCGCAUAAUGUCUACGGACCAAAGUGUGGGACCUUCGGGCCACAUGCUAUCGGAUGCGCCUACGUGGGAUUAGCUAGGUGGUGAGGUAAUGGGCCACAAAGGCGACGAUCGCUAGCUGGUUUGAGAGGAUGAUCAGCCACACUGGAACUGAGACACGGUCCAGGCUCCUACGGGAGGCAGCAGUGGGGAAUAUUGGACAAUGGGCGCAAGCCUGAUCCAGCCAUGCCGCGUGUGCGAAGAAGGCCUUCGGGUUGUAAAGCACUUUCAGCGAGGAGGAAGGGUGGUGUGUUAAUAGCACAUCAUUUUGACGUUACUCGCAGAAGAAGCACCGGCUAACUCUGUGCCAGCCGCCGCCGUAAAAC